rnacentral:tRNA from 1 species
GUUAUUUUGGCAGAAUAGUGCAAUAGAUUUAGGAUCUUUUUAUGUAAUUUAUUACAAAUAAUA